AAAAGUAAGAUUUGCAUGAUUUACAACUGUAACUGGAAGAGUGAGAUCAUCCUUUUUCUUCCUACUGGACUGAGAAUGGGGUCAAAGGCAACCAUUGGUUAAGAAGGGAUUGUGGCCAACACAGAUCUCUCCAGUGGAAAAUGAAUUAACUCAGAGCAUCAGUCCCCUAAUUAGAAGAGCUAAAGCAAUGGUCCUCAAGAGACGGAGGUUCAGUUCAGACAAUAAAGGUCUAUCGAGCUUCUACUGUAUGCUAAGAUGCAUAUGGGUCAGAUGGGGUUUCUUCCCUUACGGAGCUUUCAGCUCAGUUGGAGAAAGAAAAACAUAUAUGGACAAAAGCAUGUAUGCUGCUGGUCUGUGCAGGAGACUAUGGGAAUGGAGGAGUUCUCUUGGAAGAGAGAGCCUGGGUAUGACAAGGACAAGUAGUAACUGACCAGGAGGCUGGGGGC